UUUCAUUCUCCCACUAUCUCUCUCUCUCAGCAGACCACAGUUCCACAUGGCAUCUCUAUUUGUAGACCGCUUGCCUCCGUCAUGUCAAGAUUGGAUAUGAGUUUGAGGGUUUUCCAUAACUUUCUCUCCCUCUUCGUGAAAGCCGAUCGCCCAAAGUUCAUUGUGAAUAUAGGAUUUUCCAAAUUCGGACGGUUACUAUGCCAAAAUCGCCCCGCAAUAAAAGGACACAAAUCUGGACGAAUCCUAUUCCGAUUUCAGACUUUUAUUUUGACUGGGAGACAGAUCUCUGAAUUAUCUAGGUUUAAUAGGACUUCUAAGACUUCUCUAAGCCUAUAAAUAGACUUCUUUGCAUUCAAGAAAGGAUAGAGAAUUCGAGAGAGCAAAAUUUUACAGUUUUUCUCUUUUUAGUUUAGGUUUUCUUUAGAUUUAGGUUUUAUUUUUAUGUGGAGCUAAAUUUCCAACUAAAGUUGGGGAUGAAGCCUCACCGAUAAAGAACAUCAAUACUUUCAUGUAAGUCUUUAUUUAUCUGAUUUUAUUGGGUUUAAUAUUUCAAUUGUUUUACUUAUUUUCAAUGUGUAAAGUGAU